rnacentral:rRNA from 1 species
UACGGAGGGGCUAGCGUUGUUCGGAAUUACUGGGCGUAAAGCGCACGUAGGCGGCUUUGUAAGUUAGAGGUGAAAGCCCGGGGCUCAACUCCGGAAUUGCCUUUAAGACUGCAUCGCUAGAAUUGUGGAGAGGUAAGUGGAAUUCCGAGUGUAGAGGUGAAAUUCGUAGAUAUUCGGAAGAACACCAGUGGCGAAGGCGACUUACUGGACACAUAUUGACGCUGAGGUGCGAAAGCGUGGGGAGCAAGCAGGAUUAAGAAACCCC